rnacentral:rRNA from 1 species
GAUGAACGCUGGCGGUAUGCUUAACACAUGCAAGUCGAACGGUACCUUCGGGUAUAGUGGCGGACGGGUGAGUAACGCGUGCGAAUCUAUCUUCAGGUCGGGGACAACAGUUAGAAAUGACUGCUAAUACCGGAUGUGCCGAAAGGUAAAAGAUUUAUUGCCUGAAAAAGAGCUCGCGUCAGAUUAGCUAGUAGGUGGUGUAAGAGACUACCUAGGCUUCGAUCUGUAGCUGGUCUGAGAGGACGAUCAGCCACACUGGAACUGAGACACGGUCCAGACUCCUACGGGAGGCAGCAGUGGGGAAUUUUCCGCAAUGGGCGAAAGCCUGACGGAGCAAUACCGCGUGAGGGACGAAGGCUCUUGGGUCGUAAACCUCUUUUCUCAAGGAAGAUUCAGACGGUACUUGAGGAAUAAGCAUCGGCUAACUCUGUG